AGAGUUUGAUUCUGGCUCAGGAUGAACGCUGGCGGCAUGCCUAACACAUGCAAGUCGAACGGGGUUUAUAUAACAGAACUCUCCGGAGGGAAGAUAUAUAAACCUAGUGGCGGACGGGUGAGUAACGCGUGGGCAACCUGCCCUGUACCGGGGGACAACAGCCAGAAAUGGCUGCUAAUACCGCAUAAGCCUGCUGUGCCGCAUGGCACAGCAGGGAAAACCACGGUGGUACAGGAUGGGCCCGCGUCUGAUUAGUUAGUUGGCAGGGUAACGGCCUACCAAGACAACGAUCAGUAGCCGGCUUGAGAGAGUGGACGGCCACAUUGGGACUGAGACACGGCCCAGACUCCUGCGGGAGGCAGCAGUGGGGAAUAUUGCACAAUGGGGGGAACCCUGAUGCAGCAAUGCCGCGUGGGUGAAAAAGCACUCCGGUGCAUAAAGCCCUGUCAGCAAGGAAGAAAAUGACAGUA
rnacentral:rRNA from 1 species